rnacentral:rRNA from 1 species
GACGAACGCUGGCGGCGUGCCUAAUACAUGCAAGUAGAACGCUGAAGAGAGGAGCUUGCUCUUCUUGGAUGAGUUGCGAACGGGUGAGUAACGCGUAGGUAACCUGCCUGGUAGCGGGGGAUAACUAUUGGAAACGAUAGCUAAUACCGCAUAAAAUGGAUUACCGCAUGAUAAUGCAUUGAAAGGUGCAAAUGCAUCACUACCAGAUGGACCUGCGUUGUAUUAGCUAGUUGGUGGGGUAACGGCUCACCAAGGCGACGAUACAUAGCCGACCUGAGAGGGUGAUCGGCCACACUGGGACUGAGACACGGCCCAGACUCCUACGGGAGGCAGCAGUAGGGAAUCUUCGGCAAUGGACGGAAGUCUGACCGAGCAACGCCGCGUGAGUGAAGAAGGUUUUCGGAUCGUAAAGCUCUGUUGUAAGAGAAGAACGAGUGUGAGAGUGGAAAGUUCACACUGUG